AGGAUCUAUCUGUAUAGUACUCUCCACAUGGACAAGGGUCCAAUAAAGACUUACACUGGCAGCAAAAUUGAGUCUUUCUUUGUCAAACAAGCUAUUAGUCCUGAUGGGACUCAUAUUUUAGGUGGCUCGAGCGAUGGCAAUGUGUACCUGUGGCAGGUGGACCAACCUGAAAGUGGCCCUAUAGUUCUGAAAGGCCACGAGGGUGAAGCCACUUCAGUUGACUGAUGUGCUUUGGAGGUUGGAAAGAUAGUAUCAUCAUCUGAUGAUUCCACGGUUCGUGUAUGGAAUACCAAGAAAGACUGCAUCAACAUAAGUUCCCCAACAGUCAUCCGUAAGAGAGUAACUGCUCCAAACAUUGACUGCCCAAGAUCGGCUAACUUUGGAAAAUCCCUGUCUUGCCGAUGUGUCAUAUGCUGA
rnacentral:rRNA from 1 species